GUUCUUCGGAACUAGAGACCGGCGCACGGGUGCGUAACGCGUAUGCAAUCUACCUUUUACAGAGGGAUAGCCCAGAGAAAUUUGGAUUAAUACCUCAUAGUAUAUAGCCCUGGCAUCAGGAUUAUAUUAAAGUCACAACGGUAAAAGAUGAGCAUGCGUCCCAUUAGCUAGUUGGUAAGGUAACGGCUUACCAAGGCUACGAUGGGUAGGGGUCCUGAGAGGGAGAUCCCCCACACUGGUACUGAGACACGGACCAGACUCCUACGGGAGGCAGCAGUGAGGAAUAUUGGACAAUGGGCGCAAGCCUGAUCCAGCCAUGCCGCGUGCAGGAUGACGGUCCUAUGGAUUGUAAACUGCUUUUAUACGAGAAGAAACACUCCUUCGUGAAGGAGCUUGACGGUAUCGUAAGAAUAAGGAUCGGCUAACUCCGUGCCAGCAGCCGCGGUAAUACGGAGGAUCCAAGUGUUUUCCGGAAUC
rnacentral:rRNA from 1 species